UACUCAUGCUUUCUAGGUAAGAUCUCAGCUACUAGUCAUCUCAUUAGCAUACAAAAGACAGUCUUUACUCUAAAGACUUGAAAAAUUAAAAGAGCUCUAUGCUAGGAAACCAGACAAAGAUCACAAUAUGCACAACAAUAUUACAGAUGGGUAUUCUCUAGGAGAAGAUGAGAUUGAAUGGAUGGUGGAAGCUAUAGUAUCUGGUCCUUGGGUUU